AGCGAACGCUGGCGGCAGGCUUAACACAUGCAAGUCGAGCGGGCAUCUUCGGAUGUCAGCGGCAGACGGGUGAGUAACACGUGGGAACGUACCCUUCGGUUCGGAACAACUCUGGGAAACUGGAGCUAAUACCGGAUACGCCCUUAUGGGGAAAGGUUUACUGCCGAAGGAUCGGCCCGCGUCUGAUUAGCUAGUUGGUGGGGUAACGGCCUACCAAGGCGACGAUCAGUAGCUGGUCUGAGAGGAUGAUCAGCCACACUGGGACUGAGGCACGGCCCAGACUCCUACGGGAAGCAGCAGUGGGGAAUAUUGGACAAUGGGCGCAAGCCUGAUCCAGCCAUGCCGCGUGAGUGAUGAAGGCCUUAGGGUUGUAAAGCUCUUUUGUCCGGGACGAUAAUGACGGUACCGGAAGAAUAAGCCCCGGCUAACUUCGUG
rnacentral:rRNA from 1 species